GGUUUCCUGUGCGCGCCUGUUGGUUAUUCGGGGAGCAGCUGCCCGCCUUCCGCACUCUCUUAGACUCCUUCUCCCCGCGGCCUCCAGCUCUGCUCCCAACCCGGCAUGUUAAGGGCAGCACGGGAUGCCCGGGCCCGCGCCCCUCGCGGAAGCAGCGCCCCGCGGGCCGUGUCGGCCACGUGUGCAGUGGGAGGCCCGGAGCCUACGAGGGCCGCGCCCUUCGCCCCCGCGCAACCCACGGCCCCGGUCAAAUUCAUCAAUCUACAUGAUAGGCCUGAACUGCUCUUUAAAACGGUUAUAUGAGGGCGAAGAUCAAGCGAGUCCGCGCUAGUCACCUAUGGAAUGCCCCCGAGACCCCAGAAAGCCCAGCAGCCGAGUUAGAGGAGGCCACGGCUACUUCUGCAGACGAUUUGGGAGACGUUGUAUCAGCAGAAGCUAAAACCUUUGAAGCCGUGAUGACUUCGAUGCUGAUGUCUAGAUGAAGGGAAGAAUAUCUAGCAGGACAGUUCUUAGCUAUGCUGAGUGAAUACUUCAGGCUUUCUGGUUUUCUGCAAUAGCUGAAACUAAACCGGAAUGACAACUGGUCGCUGAAACUGUUCCUUUAAAGGUCUUCAUUAAUAAAGCUCCUGCUGUGAAUCUAUGUGAUUAGGUGUGAAAAUGAAGAGACAAACUGGAAAACAAGAUAUAUGGAAUCAGCUUAGGCCUGCAACUCAAAGUCAAGACAAGCAAUUGCAGGCAAAGCUGUACUCAUUGGCAAUAAUGUCAACACCUGACAUCAAACUGAUCAAAUAAAGCUUGGUGUUUUCAUCAUGAAAUUGUUUUCAUUCUCACGGCGCUUAGUUUAAGCAGUGUGCAAGGCAGAGAAGUUUUAGGAGCAAUUUUCGCUUUUUGGGUCACAACCGGCAAUGCAGAGGGGUUAAUCCUGGCUCAUACACUUAAUCGCGGUACUGGGGGGACUAGGAUGCUGGGAAUCAAACCUGGGUCGGUCACGUGUAAGGCCCUACCCACCAUGCUAUGGCUCCAGGUGCUGAUUUUUAGGCCUUAUUUGGCACUGCUCAAACACUUGCACUUAACGGGCUCGAUCACAGUGCUACCUGUGAUACAGCCAGUGGGCUGUGUACAUGGUACAGUGGAUCUGGCACCAAACGUGCAAGUUUCAUGUGAUGACAUACUUUCUGUGGAGGCCUGAUUUGAAUCUGCACUGCUUGCUGGUUAAUUCUAGAUAAAAGGCAGGCUUCAUCUGGUGCUGGUGGUGCUU